rnacentral:snRNA from 1 species
GUGCUCACUUUAGCUGCACAUAUACUGAAACUGGAAUGAUGCAGAGAAAUUAGUAUGGCCCCUGGGCAAGGAUGACAUACAUAAAGCAGUCCAUAUUUUA